UCAGGCACUUUACUGGUUUGCUGACAUCUCCCUGUACAACAUGGCUAUAUUAAACUCCCAAGGUUACAGCUUUUUCUCAGACCUUGGAUUGGUAGCUGCUGCCACCACCCAAGUGCAGAUCCCCUUUUGAGAGCCCAGGAAAGUGCACUUGGAAAUUCCUUCCUGUGGGGUAACCUCAAGCCCUUUCAUGCCCCCUCUAGGGAAGAGCUGAGAAAG